rnacentral:rRNA from 1 species
GCACCCGUAGGCGGCGAAAGCCUGAUCCAGCCAUGCCGCGUGAGUGAUGAAGGCCCUAGGGUUGUAAAGCUCUUUCACCGGUGAAGAUAAUGACGGUAACCGGAGAAGAAGCCCCGGCUAACUUCGUGCCAGCAGCCGCGGUAAUACGAAGGGGGCUAGCGUUGUUCGGAAUUACUGGGCGUAAAGCGCACGUAGGCGGACUAUUAAGUCAGGGGUGAAAUCCCGGGGCUCAACCCCGGAACUGCCUUUG